rnacentral:rRNA from 1 species
GAUCAUCGGCUCAGAACGAACGCUGGCGGCAUGGAUUAGGCAUGCAAGUCGAACGGGAGCAGCAAUGCUCCAGUGGCGCAAGGGUGAGGAACACGUGAACAACCUGCCUUCGAGUUGGGGAUAGCUUCUGGAAACGGGAGAUAAUACCGAAUAACAUCACCGGAUCGCAUGAUCUGGUGAUCAAAGCAGCAAUGCGCUUGAAGAGGGGUUCGCGUCCAUUAGUUAGUUGGUGAGGUAACGGCCCACCAAGGCGAUGAUGGGUAGCUGGUCUGAGAGGACGAUCAGCCACAUUGGGACUGAGAUACUGCCCAGACUCCUACGGGAGGCUGCAGUCGAGAAUUUUGGGCAAUGGACGAAAGUCUGACCCAGCCAAUGCCGCGUGCGGGAUGAAGGUCUUCGGAUUGUAAACCGCUGUCAAGAGGGACGAAACAUGACGGUACCUCUGGAGGAAGCCACGGCUAACUACGUGCCAGCCGCUGC